ACCAACUCCAGAGGGUAAACUACCAACUCCAGAGGGUAAACUACCAACUCCAGGGGUAAACUACCAACUCCAGGGGUAAACUACCAACUCCGGGGGAGUAGAGGGUAAACUACCAACUCCAGAGGGUAAACUACCAACUCCAGAGGGUAAACUAUCAACUCCAGGGGUGUAGAGGGUAAACUACCAACUCCAGAGGGUAAACUAUCAACUCCAGGGGUGUAGAGGGUAAACUACCAACUCCAAAGGGUAAACUACCAACUCCGGGGGUGUAGAGGGUAAACUACCAACUCCAGAGGGUGUAGAGGGUAAACUACCAACUCCAGAGGGUAAACUACCAACUCCAGAGGGUAAACUACCAACUCCAGAGGGUAAACUACCAACUCCAGGGGGUAAACUACCAACUCCAAAGGGUAAACUACCAACUCCAGGGGUAAACUACCAACUCCAGGGGUAAA